rnacentral:rRNA from 1 species
UACGUAGGGGGCAAGCGUUGUCCGGAUUUAUUGGGCGUUAAAGCGCACGCAGGCGGUCUGCCAAGUUCGGAGUGACAGUUUCCGGCGUUAACCGGAAAAGGUCUUCGAAAACUGGUGGACUUGAGGACUUGAGGGGGAGGACGGAAUUCCGGGUGGAGCGGUGAAAUGCGUAGAGAUCCGGAGGAACACCGAAGGCGAAGGCAGUCUCCUGGCAAGUUACUGACGC